rnacentral:lncRNA from 1 species
CGCCAUAGUGUGAAUCCCUGGAUCUCUUUACAAUCAAAUAUCAUUUCCUCAUUCCCGAUCAAAUUCUCAGAUUGAGAUUUGUCAUGUUGAAAAUCCAAAGAGAUUAAACUGCCAACACCAUUGAAAAUGUUCGAGGGCUCAAAAACAAUCUGUAAUUCUGCAUCUCCGCAACCCAGCCUCAAUGUUGCAAAGUAUUAGCCUAUUGCCUCAAACAAGUCUUUAAUAAGAUUGGAAAUGUACAAGUCUUCAAUAUGAUUUUGCCAAAGAAUAAUCAACUCCCAUUUCUCGGCCAAGUUGUUCUGACCAUUUUUUUUUCCAAACUGCAGCAUUUAAGACCUUCACCAUCUACAAAGUCAGAGAAUAUAAUUCCUCUAGGGUCUUUGAACUAAGGCCCCACAAUGGUACACUUUAACGGUGAAAUAGUCAAACUCUGUCUCAGUCAAAGAUCUGAACCACAAAGACCAUUAUAUAUGUCAAAAACAAUAGAGUAACUGAACACAAAAACUAAAGAGCAAUAUAGCACGAUAAAUGAAUGCGAAGACCGACAACGAGAUAACAAAAAGGGGUUUUGCUUGAUAAAUGGAACGAAUAAGGAAACAUCUCAAUUUCUUACCAAUAAAGGAGUCAUUCCUCACCCAGUUUCAUGCCAUGUUUCCAAUAGCCUAUUUACAUCACGGUUAUUGUCUACAAUUUUCCUCUAAACUACAAGAAAUCUGAACCUUUAAGAAAGAAAAAACAAGAAUCUUUUUGGUGCAAGAGCACCACUUUGUAUCCCUCCAAAAUGAGCAGAUCUACCAUGUCAGUCUUAUCUGACAGAAGUCCGUUAAACUUGUUGAAAGUUUUGCUGGGACCACACUGUUUGCUUCGGAGAGUUUCAAGACCAACAAUGAUCAGCUAGUAAGGUGAAGAAGACAGCAGUUUUGGAUGCAGUAUAGCGAAAAUCUAAGUUGCUCGGACACGGGUGCGGGUGUCCGACACGGGUGCGGAUCUAGAGGUCGGAUCUUUCAAGAUGUAAAUUUUAAGAUUCGGGGAUACGGAUCCUAGUACGGAUACGGGUGCGGGGAUCCGGCUAAAAAUAUUUUUAAAUAAUAUAAAUCUCUCUAAUUUAUGAGAAAUUUUGUGGAAUACUUACGUAUAGCUUGUAAAGUGUGGAUUUCCUUUUUAUUCUCAAGUUGUAGAUAGUAAAAGAUUGAUUUCCUAGAUAAGCUAUGCUAUUUUCUUCAAAUUUACCCUAGUUUUAGUUUUGAUUUCGGUAAUCAAAUUGUAUCUCGUCUCGAAUUUUUCUGUCCGUCGUGGUCAAAGUACCCAAAAUUGUUUCCCUAGAUCCGGUACGGAUCCCAUACCCACACCCAUACUAGUGUCGUGUCGACACGGGUGCGGCACCUAAACUGCCAUGUCGGAGCAACUUAGGCGAAAAUGACAUUUUCAAUGAGACAACAACUAGAAAAAAGUCAACUUUUGAGAUCCUCCACCACCACCAACAUACCAAGAACCUAUGAAAAGUCCAUCUAGAUAAGCAAGAGCAACAUCGAGAGAAGGAACACAACAGUAUAUAAAUUGUAACAUUUACAAUGGAAAGAUACAAAAGACAAGGAUGGAGCAAGGACAGAAAGCACACACAUAUUCACAAGGGAAGAAUAGGAGAGCAUCAUAUAGAGAAACAAACAUAAACAUAGACUGAGCAUAUGUAGACAGUUGACAUGGUUCAAUGAAUGUGGAAAAAGAUAUAUUACAAUAUGGUCUUUGAACAUCUCAAGGCUUCUGUGAGAAUCAGGAUCGAACGCUAGUAUUGAAACAAGCAAAAGUACAAAUGUUGAUAUCUUGACCUUUUGCUAACAGGCAAGGCAUGCAACCGCGCCAUAAUCCUAUAGGCAAAGUACUUAUAAGUGUGAAUCGAGUUUCUUCAAACCUGGUCGACACUAUUGAUUCACCAUCUAUUUCACUAUGAUUGCAAAGACUAAUAUAUACAAAAUGUUUCUUACAUCACUUUCCAUAAUUUGAAUCACUUCGGUCGAUGCAUGAGAAAAUCCAUCAGCUAUUAAAUGCUACAUUAUUUAGAGAUGAAUUUACCUCACUAUGAGACAAAUGUCGGAAAAUCCAUCUAGAAAUGUGACCUGCUCCACCACUGCA